AGGUUAUUUGACUGAGUUUUGAGCUCAUAAGGGCCUCGUGAAUCUCUACUUGAAUCUCGAAUUUCAACUGUUCUCGCAUAAUCUGACCAUACUCCGGUUUUUGGGACAUAACUUUCUAUGACAAUAUCCAAUCAUAGAUCCAUUUGUUGUAUUACAAACUAGACUUGAGGGGUUUCACUUUGAUAUAUGUCUUGAAUCAUUUGGCUUUGAUUUGAACCCGUAACAACCUGCUAAUCUUCGCCCAAAAAAUCUAAAAUUUUGCUUAUUGAAUUCCUUUUGUUUGGCUAUUCUUCCUAAGCUUGAUAUCACGACUCUUGCCUAUUCUAUCAUUUGUUAACCUUGUUGUCUUCCUUGAAUAUUUGAUGAAUAUUUUUCAAAAAGCCCAAUAGAAUAUGGUUCACCAUAUAUUUUUAAAAGAAUGAUGUACCUUGUCAUAGUAAACCUUGUUUGCCAAGAUAACCAAGUGGUAUUAAACAUUGACAUGGUUGGUUGUCAGUGGGCAUAUUUGUUUAUUUUAUGUUAAGAUUGAUUAUAGGAGAAGCCUAUGUUAAUUGUGCAUGCAUGGGCAGGGGUGAUGUGCAUCAUUUGUAUGGUUUAAUCAGGAUAUGUGGUCAUGGGUGUGCAAUUGUGCAUGAGAUGUAUGUUUAUUUGUGUGGAUGAUGUGGUCGUGUUCAAAUUAUACAUGCAGUAGCAUGGCUAUGUAUAUAUGAGCAUUUAUGUGUAGCAUUUACAUUAUACUCGCCUGGUGGUGGCCAGCGCGUGGAGAUAGUAUACUCGCUUUAUGCAUGGACAUUAUACUCUCCUGGUGGUGACCGUCGCGUGGAGAUAGUAUACUCACUUUAUGCGUGGACAUUAUACUCUCCUGGUGGUGACCAGCGCAUGGAGAUACUAGACUCAUCAUACUCGCCUCAUUUAAAUUAGUGCGUGGGGGAACUUUGGUCCAUAGUUAUUGUUUAUGUGAUGUUUGGGGCCGUAGGGACCAGUGUGAUUUAUGUAGGCCAUGGGCCGAAUAUGUAUACAUAUGCGUGUCUAUAUCGUUGUGUGUUGUGAUGAAGCAUAGCAUUGGUGUGGUUAAGGUAAAUCAAUAAUUCCUUCGCAGGUAAGAUAUUUCAUAAUGUAAGGGCAAGGGAGCAACUGAAAGGGGUCCUAGCAGAGUCGAUAGGUAGACAUGUGUGCUAGGGCACUCUCAACUCAAAAGAUCUUGGGGUUCUUUUGUUAAGUCGAUGUAUACAUUGUAUUCCUCAAAUGUUGUAUGUGACCCAAUGAAAAGAUGAAUGUUUUGAUA